ensembl:lncRNA
AGAGCACCUUGGGCACUUCAGCAGACUCCUGGCAGGAAACCAACCUGCUGCUCAGAGCUUUCCCAACACCCUCCUCAUCUUCCCUCUGCCUUGGCCUGCACAUCAAACAACUUAUACCUACAGCACAGGUACUGUAGAGAUUCUCAAAAUGUACUCUGUUUUAUGGGUGCUGGACUACACACAGUGACAAAUGUAAAAUAAGCACCUGAAAGACUAAUGGCCCGGUCUUUUGCCGAGGCCGUAAAAGAGCUGUAAUUUUUGCUUGAGUGACAGGUAACAUGGCUCUAAAUCAUUCGUUCUCUUUCUCCCUCACUCCGGUUGUCUUGUUUCUCCACCCCUGCAGUCUCCAGCCGAGCCUGAACCUGGUCCUGCUCUCGCAGCACUGGAAUUACUAUUGGCAAAUCGAGCCAGGCAGGAUUAAUUGUAAUUCAAGGUCUAUUACUGCAGCGCUUGCUUGCUUUUGCUGGAUUGCCAGUUGGGCACAGAAAGAAUGACUGUUCUGAGUACUGCCCCGCUCCGAGAUUGUUGAUUAGCCUUUUGAUGGAAUUGGUAAAGCAGUAGAGCUUGACUCACGGUGGCCCCCCACAAAAGGAAAAAAAAAAAAAUAGAAAAGAUUUCAGAAGAGUAUAGAGAGAAGGUGCAGAGGGGAAAAAAAUGAAAAUAAGAAUGAAGUGAAUCUCUGUGUGGGGGCCAUGAGAGGAUUAUCAGAUUUCAUCAAAUGUGGAGAUGUGCUGCCCCCAUGAGGAAAGAUGAAAAUCAAAGGAAUCGAAGAGAGGGACACACUCAAGACAGAGGAAGAGCAAAGAGAAAGAGAGCCCCUGUGUGUGAUGUUGGGGGAACAGAAUCUGUUAUCACAAACCCUGGAGGAUCAGACUUCAGAGUGAUCAACAUGAGGCCCAGCUCCUCUCUUCCUCUUUGGACGCUGCAAGGUUUGAUCAAUAGCUGUGCAAUAAAAGGAAGAGUUCACCCAAAAAUGAAAAUCAUGUCAUCAUUUACUCACCCCUCAUGUCAUUCCAAAUCAAUAUGACUUACUUCAUUCUGUGGUACACACAAGGUGCAAUUUUAUAGAAUGUUAUGGCCACUCUAUUCCAUUUAAAGUGAAAGGGGACUUGAGCUGUUUAGGUUCCAAAAUAACCAAAAAGCUCUAUAGACGUAUUAUAGAAGUGGUCCAUGUCACUCUAUUUCAAGUCACUCUGAAAAACUUAAACUCCAACAUAG